CUUUGGAAGAGGCUCACUGAGGUGAGGAGAAAGAAAGGUAACUUCCUGAAGUCACAAAGCUAGGGAACACAGGGUGGCUACAUAAACCCACACAGCCUGCUGCAAUGUCCUCCACACGUCCUUUCUGAGGCACAUUCAUCAAAGGGAUGAAUAAGGUCCCGAGCAGCACCGAAUAUGCAUUUGAUGUUUGUCUUCCUGAAAGAUUACCUGUAAAUGACCCAUGUAAAAUGUUUAGCUGUCCCUGGCCGGCAGAAGGCACACACCCCCAAAAGGAGGCAAUGGAAACCAGUUCUCUAGCUCCUUUCUCUCACAAUAAAAAGGACCAAUAAUCUUUAAACAUCCAGAAGUUCUUUCUGUCUUGGAAAAGGCCUUCCAACAGGCCAGCAAGAGGAAACCAUAAAUCCUCCACGUUGAGCAAGAAACGUCUGCUUCAUAAAGGUAAAUUCAAUCUCAACUUUGAAGUAUAAAAAGUGAAGUAUGAGAAGUCAACGUAAGCCAACGACAAGGGAUCCCAGACAGCAGCAGGCGGGGAGCUUGGGCGGCAGGGCCACGGGCAGGCACAAAGACAGCCACAGAUCAGCUGCAGCCAGGGAGGCCGCUGGCCGGAGUCAGAUCAGAUCUGGCUGCCGGCGAUAUUGCCUCUCCAGGAGACAAAGCCAGGCGGCCACCGGAACCCACGGGUGGCUGCACAUCUGGAAAGCGGAGCCCCGGGAUGAAUUAUGCAUGGAUUACCUUGCACUUGCGCAGGAAUGUCUGUUUAUUCACAGCAGAGGAGCAGAGACAAGGAAACCUGUUUCACACCUGGCAUUUAAUUUAGAAGGGAUUGCUUCUCCGGCUGAAGGAAAAGCCAUCUGAACUGCGCAGUCCUGGCUCUGCACUGGGGUUCCCGCAGCCAGCGCGUUAUGUGCCUUAUGAAACCUAGAGCCUUAUUUUUCAAUGCACUCUGUAAGACUGUGUGUGCGUGCACGUGGUGGUGGGGGUGGUGAGUGUACAAAUGUGUGUGCACAUAGCCACUCCUAUGGGUGUAAGCACUGGACAUGGCCCACAUGGCAGGCACCCAAAGCAUAUCCGGCCCAAUCUCUAAGUGUCCCCCACCCCUUUUCGGCUUAGCUCCAUAAAAGUCACGAGGGACAGGGCGGGUGGCUCA
rnacentral:lncRNA from 1 species